CCUUUGGCUAUUCGAAAGGGCAUGCCUGUUUGAGUAUCAUGAACACCUCAACUCUCAUGGUUUGCCAUGAUGAGCUUGGACUUUGGAGGUCUUGCCGGCCUGCGGUCGGCUCCUCUCAAAUGGAUCAGCUUGCCAGUGUUUGGUGGCAUCAUGGGUGUGAUAACUAUCUACGCCUGUGGUUUUCCACCGGAUAACCUUCAGUGAUGGAGGUUUGCUGGAGCUCAUAAAUGUCUCUCCUCAGUGAAGACAGCUUUUUGAACGUUUGAUCUCAAAUCAGGUAGGACUACCCGCUGAACUUAAGCAUAUCAAUAAGCGGAGG
rnacentral:rRNA from 1 species